AUGGAUCAUCUUGUCAUCAAUGACGAUAUUGCUGCUGGAGAGGCCUUACCCUCAGGGCAGGUCCUCCAGCUCGGCGGUUUUACCAUAGGCACUCGCCCGACCAUUAAGCCAGCGGCGGCACCCACAAUCGCUGAACAUCUUGUCUGUAUCAAUCUCGAACAGUCCAAAAAGAUGGGUCCGGCAGAUCCCGCUUCCUUGAACGAGCUGCUAGAUUGCAUCGCCGCCCUAGGGGUCACAACAAACUAUGAUCGGAUCGGGCUUAAACCUGAUCAGAGGGAAAUCAAGUCCCCACAGAUCCCCCAUCAGGUAGUGAUUUUUGAGGAACAAGCUGAGAACAUUGCAUAUCGCCCUAAGUUAAGCACCAGAUAUGUUUGGAUCUCUGAGCCGGUUUCCCAACCUCAGCGGGAGACAACAUGUCUGUCAAACACAGGAUCAAGCAUUGAGCCCGAAAGCCCUUAG
rnacentral:rRNA from 1 species